AUUGAACGCUAGCGGGAUGCUUUACACAUGCAAGUCGAACGAGUGGCGGCCGGGUGAGUAAUAUAUAGGAACGUGCCCCGUAGCGGGGGAUAACUACUCGAAAGAGUGGCUAAUAACGCAUACACUAGGAACGGCCGAAAUCGGAUCAGCUAGUUGGUGGGGUAAAGUCUCACCAAGGCAACGAUCCGUAGCUGGUUUGAGAGGACGACCAGCAACACUGGAACGGAGACACGGCCCAGACUCCUACGGGAGGCAGCAUUGGGGAAUUUCGGACAAUGGGGGAAACCCUGAGCCAGCCAUCCCGCGUGUAUGAGAAGGCCUUCGGGUUGUAAAGUACUUUUGGCAGAGAAGCGGUAUCUGCAGAAUAAGCACCGGCUAACUACGUGCCAGCCGCCGCGGUAAUUC
rnacentral:rRNA from 1 species